rnacentral:rRNA from 1 species
GACAGAGGGUGCAAACGUUGUUCGGAAUUACUGGGCGUAAAGCGCGCGUAGGCGGACCUGCAAGUCGGGGGUGAAAGCCCGAGGCUCAACCUCGGAACUGCCUUCGAUACUGCGGGUCUCGAGUCCGGGAGAGGUGAGUGGAAUUCCUAGUGUAGAGGUGAAAUUCGUAGAUAUUAGGAAGAACACCAGUGGCGAAGGCGGCUCACUGGCCCGGUACUGACGCUGAGGCGCGAAAGCGUGGAGAGCAAACAGG